UCUGCCUGUUCCUCUGCACCCACCCCUGGCGCCAGCAGAAGCCCUAAAGAAGAUCAUCUUGCCUGGCCGCGCCCUUAAUCCCGCUGUAGGCACACCCUCGACACCGAGGAUGCCGCCUCCGCGCUGUCGCCCAUAUGAAGCCCACGCCAGCUUUCCAGGUAUACCGCCUAAGGGGGCAAGGCCGAACUGCGGUGCCUCGGGAACUCACCGGUGAUGGCGGGAGAGGCGCCCGCUACCAGGGUAGGAAAGCACCUCCGAGACGAGGGAGGUGAUCCAGCACGACGCGCAUCGCCAAGGCGCGCGAGGCUAGAUAUCCAUAAUUUUGGUAAUACUCUGAAGUUUCCUGAAGCAAGUGUGGACAACGGUGCCCCUGAUGUUGCACAUGUUGGUAAAAGGUCAUCCAAUAUGAUGUAUCCAAGUCUCUCAUCAUCCGCAUCAAGUGACCAAACAUAUCGGCUUGGGAUGCCCAUUAGUCCAUCUAUAUUUAUAUCAGUCCUAAUAUGUCCUACGUUCAGCAUUUGAAUCUAAAAUAGGGAACACAAGGCGUCAUCCAAUAUGCUGUAUUCAAGUCUCUCAUCAUCCGCAUCAAGUGACCAAACAUAUCGGCUUGGGAUGCCCAUUAGUCCAUCUAUAUUUAUAUUAGUCCUAAUAUGUCCUAUGCUCAGCAUUUGAAUCUGAAAUAGGGAACACAAGGCCUCUCCAAUUAAGACUAGAUGGUUCAUCACUGGACUCCAUCGAUCCUUACAUUGUUCUAGAAUUUCAACAUUUCUGAUCUAACAGUUGAUUUGACAAGUCUGGGAUGUGAUUUUCUGGCUUGGGUAGUUAUUUGUAGUAUUUAUUUUGACAACUUGCACUCCGAAACCAUGAAAAAAUCUUCUCAGUCUGAAAGUAUGGACAAACAUCCCACUUUAGUAGCUACUUAUGUGCCCCUGUUUGAUGCCAAGUAAUACAAUAGUUCUACCAUCUUCUUUUUUUCCUUUGAUGUCCAAUUUGCCUAUCAUUCUAAUCACAGUGUUGGUAUUUCAUAUUCAUGUUGAGACUUGCAUACUCUUGGGAACCACGGGAGUAUCUACUUUGUGCGUUCAUCCUCAGAUCUCUUACUUGAUUCCCCAGACCAUGAUGUACAUUUGAAUUGUGUUUGUGAUUUCUUCCAUGGAAAUUAACAUGAUGUCCAUAUUAUCUCCAGUCGAUUCAUGGGUAUGACGCCAUUAGGCAUGUCGCCGCCCUCAAGUGGCGCGCAUGCGGCCUCUCCUCCAUUGGUGGGAGCGCCGAAUCCCCAUGGAGACAAGUGGCGCGCAUGCCACAUCUCCACUGGUGGGAGCACCGGAUCCCCAUGGAGACGCAGCAAGCAGCUGGUGGCCAGGGGGCGCAGGCAUAGUGGCGAAGGCCCUCCACCAUUGGCGAGAGCACUGAAUUUCCAUGGAAAUUCAGCGAGCAACAUGGUUCUGUAGCCACCGGCCUGGGGGCAUAGGCGCGGCGGCGGCCGACCCAAUCAAGAUCUCUUAGUUGCUGUCACAAGUGCCGAUGUGCAAAUGUGGAUUGACAAUGACGUGCUGGCAGCUCAAAGAAUGAAAGGAGCAUGUGUACCCAUUGAAUCAGAUCGGCCUUCACUACCUGGUCGGUCAGACCAAAUGAUAUUUUCGUCAAUCCUUAUCAUGUCUUCCUGUGUAAAAUCCUACAUUAAAAAGGUUCUUCUUUUUUUGGCGGUGUAAAAAGUUUCUUCUCUUGUUCAGAUUACAUGAUUUGGCUAGUACCGGCUAAUAUACUGCGGUCUGAAGGGAAACAACUUAGAGCCUCUGACUGCAUUGCAAAAGGUUAGUAGGUCAAUGGUCCUGAGUCCUGCUCAUGUAGUUGUACCAAUGCAAACUGAUUGAUGGGUACACAUGAAUCUGAACUGCUUUGACAGAAGUAAUACAAUAGUUUUUCUGUCAUUUUUUUCUUUUUGUGUCCAAUUUGCCUAUCAUUCUAAUCACACUGUUGGUAUUUUAUAUUCAUGUUCAGACUUGCAUACUCUUGAGAACUAUGCGAGUAUUUGUUUUGUGCGUACGUACUCAAAUCUCUUACUUGAUUCCGCAUACCAUGAUGACGUUGGUAAUUCUAAUUGUGUUUGUGAUCUCUUCCAUGGAAAUUAACAUUAUGUCCAUAUUAUCUCCAGUUGAUUUCACGGGUACCUUCACUACUUGACUCCCAAUUUUUAACAUUAUGGCAGAGUUGAUUUGUGGUCUGCCAUAUUAUCUCUAGUUCAGAACUUGCCGAUGUAGUUGACGUGCCUCAGUGGAAUGAAGAGAAGUCGCAGAUGACAUAGUUAAAUAGUCAUGUUCAGAUUUAGACUCGUACAUGGUGUCAUCUCAUCAGUAUAUAAUCUUACACUGCAUACUGUGGAAAAUAUGACCGUGGUUUAACCCACAUGUGUGUGUUGGUAUAUAAUCUGUAACACAAACACAAAAGGUAUAGGCCCCGUUUGGUUCGGCUGUGGAUUUCUAAAAGUAGCUGUGAAAAAUCUGCUGUGGAAAAACAGUUGUGGAAAAUCUCAUGUGAAAAAGAUGUAGGUCAUUUGGCAAACCAGCUGAUACAGCUUUUUCAGAUUUUGGCCCGCAGCGGAAUCAGAUUUUGGAAAGCACGUCCUGGGCUGCUUCCGCUUUUGGUUCAGAUUUUGGCAGCGAAUUUCUGGAAUUGGAUUCUGCUGGGUUCGCCCUUUGGUUCAGAUUCUGCUGCACGGUAGCGGAAUCCGUCGAUAAAAGCUGAACCAAAUAGGGCCAUAAAAAGGUUGAUUGCCAAUUCUUGCACUCGGCCUUUCCUCCUUUGUGAACUUAAUGUAUGUUCUUUGUAUACGCCACUUCAAGAUAAUCUGUAUAAUAGUUAUAGGGCAUGGCUUCACCUUAUAGAAAUAAAUCUUUUGGAGAGAAGAUAUUAUAACUGAGGUAUCUGCCACAAUUUUCUUGGAGAAGAAGUAUACUUGGAAUAUUGUGUUUCUCUUCCUGAAAGUUUUCUCAAACCAUUCAUAGCCAAUGAAUCUCAAUUAUUCAAUUUCCAUUCCAUGUUCUCAUCAGUGGAACUAUCGUUGUAUCUCUGUUUUUCCCAUGUGAUCCGGGAUGAUAGAAACUCUAUUAUAUUAGACUGAUGUCUUACCUUUCUUUUCUAAUAUUGGCUGGGCUAAAAUUCCUACUAGGCUUUCUUAGGGAAGAAUAUGAUCCGGUGAAUUUUUAGCUCUAUCAAAAAUAUUUAUGGAUGAUGAAGUGGGUUUGAGACAUAACAUCUCAUGAUCUUUCUACUAUUAUUUCUUCAAGUGCCUUUAUGUUCUAAGCAUAUGUAGUUUCAUUGUUGCAUCAAUUCUGCUUCAAAGAUUGGGAAAUGAUUAAUGCAACCAAUGUCUAAGCUCCAAUAUGGUUUCACUAUUGUUUAUUUUUUAGCCAACACAAAAUACCCUCAAUCAUAUAUGUUUAUGCAAAUAUUACUAUCAUGUUGUCUGUCUCCACAUAUUUACAGAAUUCCUUCCUACCAUUUUAUUGUAAAAAUGGAUGGGCGCAACAACGCGCGCCAUCGAUGAUCUAGUUGGACUUGGACACCACGGCCGACGCUCGCGGUACACGAGUGGCCCCAUGAG